rnacentral:rRNA from 1 species
UACAGAGGUCUCGAGCGUUAGGCGGAAUCACUGGGCUUAAAGCGUGUGUAGGCGGAUCGUUAAGUACCUUGUGAAAUCCCACGGCUUAACCGUGGAACUGCUUGGUAUACUGGCGGUCUUGAGCCAGCUAGGGCUACCGGAACAAAUGGUGGAGCGGUGAAAUGCGUAGAUAUCAUUUGGAACGCCAAUGGUGAAAACAGGUAGCUGGGGCUGUGCUGACGCUGAGACGCGAAAGCGUGGGGAGCAAACAGG